rnacentral:rRNA from 1 species
UGAUCCUGGCUCAGAUUGAACGCUGGCGGUAUGCUUAACACAUGCAAGUCGAACGGAAACGAUACUAGCUUGCUAGUAGGCGUCGAGUGGCGGACGGGUGAGUAACGCGUAGGAAUCUGCCUGAUAGUGGGGGAUAGCCCGAAGAAAUUCGGAUUAAUACCGCAUAAUCUAUUCGUAGUAAAGUGGGGGACUUUCGAGCCUCACGCUAUCAGAUGAGCCUGCGUAAGAUUAGCUUGUUGGUAGGGUAAAAGCCUACCAAGGCUACGAUCUUUAGCUGGUCUGAGAGGAUGAUCAGCCACAUCGGGACUGAGACACGGCCCGAACUCCUACGGGAGGCAGCAGUGGGGAAUAUUGGACAAUGGGGGCAACCCUGAUCCAGCAAUACCGCGUGUGUGAAGAAGGCCUGAGGGUUGUAAAGCACUUUCAAUUGUGAAGAAAAGUUAGCGGUUAAUAACCGUUAGCCUUGACGUUAACUUUAGAAGAAGCACCGGCUAACUCCGUGCCAGCAGCCGCGGUAAUACGGAGG